CCCGAACGCCCAGCCCCGAAAGGAAGGGUCCCGGUUCGGUCCGGUCCGGCCCGGCGCCGCUCUCCCCUCACCUCCCGGGACGCUUCCACCGCCCCUGGUUGCCACGGCAACCGCACGCCAGCAGCCAGCCAGGAACAACGUCCCACCGUCGGCCGCGGCGCACGGCCGUUCCCAGCCAAUCAGCGUUGAGGAGAGAGCACAGGCGGGGACUGCGCGUGCGCAGCUGCGGCCAGCGCGCGGCAUCGCGGAGGGCACGCGGGGCGGGGGGGGUUGUUCGGUGGCCUGAGGCGCCGUGUGGGGAGUCGGAGAGUCGUAGAAUGGUUUCGGUGGAAAGAGACGCUUAGGAUCAUCGAGUCGGACUCUAGUACUAAACCAUUAUCCAAUCUAAACCACCCUUGGCACAACUUGAGGCCAUUUCCUCUUGUCCUAUCACUUGCUUCUUGGGAGAAGAGACCAGCACUCUCAAUGCUGCAAUCUCUUUUCAGGUAGCUGUAGAGAGUGAUAAGGUCUCCCCUCAGCCUCCUUUUCUCCAGGCUGAACAGCCCCAGUUCCCUCAGCCGCUCCUCAUCAGACUUGUGCUCCAGGCCCCUCACCAGCUCUGUCACCCUCGACAGGCGCUGCUUGGGCUCGCUGGUGGCUGUGCUUCCCCUUGCCAGACCCCUGGUGUGUCCCCAGGCAUGAGCAGGCGUUGUGGACCGGGUGUUGCUUUUUAGCCCGCAGCAUGGGCCUGGCUAUGCCGCUGAGGCAAAACAGUGUCACUGUGGCACAGGCCAGGGGCACAGGCACGGAUGGCAGUGUGGGUGCUCCCCGGGCGAGCUGGGGCCUGUCAGCCCACCUCAGGAGUCUGGAGAAGAGGAAAUGCAACAGGGGAGUUUCCUGGAAGAAAACUUUGAAACCUGCCGAUGGAAACUGACUUUGAACAACAUCUCCCUUAAGAAGAGGUCAUUGCCUUUUAAAUAUCUUAAUAAUGCUAUGUGUUCAUAAAUUUUAUUUGCUUGAAGGUUUUCCAUUUGGUGUUACCCCUUCUUCCUGCAUGCUAGGCAUUUUUGUGAGCAUGAAUUACUGGCAACCAAAAUGAUAUGGUUUAUGUCCCACAUGCUUAAAUUAGAAGUGUUAAUAGUUUAAUAAAUUCAGUUGAUACUGUAUUUAACAGUAAUGUUGUAUAAGAAAGGUUAGCAAAUGUUUAAUAAUUUUUCCUAUGUUGAAACAUUAUUCCAGUUUGGGGUUAGUCGUGUGUGGUAUGGUUUUAUUUUGUUUUAAUUUAUCAACCCAUUUGGUGCCUUUUAAAAUGAAUUUAUUACUGAUGCCACAAAACUGUGAGGAGAGGCUGAUACACCAGGGGGUUGUGCUGCCAUCCAGAGGCACCUUGACAGGCUGGAGAAAUGGGCCGGUGGGAUUCCUGAGUUCAACAAGGGGAAGUGCAAAGUCCUGCCCCUGGGGUGGAACAACCCCAGGCACCAGCACAGGCUGGGGACUGACCAGCUGGAAAGCAGCUCUGCAGAGAAGGUCCUGGGGGUCCUGGUGGAGACUGGGUUGGACAUGAGCCAUCAGUGUGUCCCUGCUGCAAAGAAGGUGAGUGGUACCCUGGGCUGCACUAGAGGGGUACUGCCAGUUGUGGAAGGAGGUGAUCCUGCCCCUUUAUUCAGCACUGGUGAGGCCACACACGAAGUACUGUGUCCGGUUCUGGGAUCUCCAGUAUGAGAGAGACAUGGAUAUACUAGAGAGACUUCAGCUAAAAGCCAUUAAGAUGAUAAAGGGACUGGAGCUUCUUUCUUUUGAGGAGAGGCUAAGAGAGUUGGGACUGUUCAGCCUGAAGCAGAGAAGGCUCAGAGGGAUCUCAUCAAUGCAUAUAAAUACCUGACGGGGGGGUGCAAAGAGGACUGAGCCAGGCUCUUUUCAGUGGUGCCCAGUGACAGGAGCAGAGGCAAUGGACACACACUGAAACAUGGGAGGUUACCUCUGAACAUCAGGAAACACUUUUCCACUGUGAGGGUGACCUGGCACAUGUUGCCCAGAGAGGCUGUGGAGUCUCUGUCCUUGAAUAUAUUCAAAAGCCAACUGUACAUGGUCCUGGGCAACUGGCUCUAGGAGGCCCUGUGUGAGUGGGUAUGUUGGACCAGAUGACCUCCAGAGGUCCCUUCCCACCUUGGCCAUUCUGUGAUUCUAACAAUUAAACAUAUGAAUAACAAGUCAACAAAACUUUAUACUUGUUAUGUGCUUGCUGACAAAAUACAUUGCUUCCAGUGAAACCAAGAUUAGGACUUUAUUUUUCUUAUUGGAAAAAUGACACGAAAUGUUGUUACAAGUAAGCAUGUUCCACUUUGACCUUUGUUAGAAACAUAGACAAGGUAUAAAGAGUCCCAUCCCUCCUACCUCAAAUUUCCUAUAUCCUUCUCUCUGAGGAUAUGAAAGAUCAUAAGAUGGCCUUAUUUCUGUGGUAGAAUCCAAACUGAGCAUGCCCUGGAGCUGCUUGUUCUGGGAAAUGUUUCUGUAAAAAAACUGUGUUAAUAUUCUGAAAGUUAAUUUUGGACUUAGUUUGUUCUCCCUCAUGUCUGUAGAUCUUGCAGGUGUCUGGGGCUGUCUGUUAGUAAUUUGAUUUAAAGGCAGAAAAAGCUAUGGGAAGUUUCAGAGAGAGUAUUUAUUCAUUAAGAUUUGAAAUAGGAUUCUCAUCUGGUGGCACAGAGUAUUAAACAAUCAUCUGUGUACUCUCCAGGAUGGCAGUAAUUUGGCUGAGUACAAGAAGUCCUUGUCUUCAAAAAAGCUUUUGGAAAUACCUGUGUAAAAUCAUUGAUGGCUAUAUUUCUUACAGUUCCAGAUUGGAACAUUGAACUGAAAUUUACUUCUAAGGACAUAAAACACCUUAAGAGUCUCCCUUGCCUAAACACUAUCAUGCAUUUUGCAUAGAGCUAUUUCUGCGUAUAUGGAUUCUAUAUAUGGAGUGUGUCAUAACAAAUAUGACAAAUAUCCUUAGAAGAUACGCACACUUCUAUUUGUAAAACAUUAAAUUCAAAAUUCAAGCCUAACAAUUUCUGACAAACUUUUUCAGGGUCAGGUUUCAAACUUUGGAUUCAGUCAAGCUUUUUCCUGAGUGUCUCUUGCCUUCUUCUUUUGUGGCUAGACAGCUACAUAAAAGAGACUCAGCAUAGUUGCUUCUAUGUAGUCUUUUUAAUGCAUAAUAUAUGUCUGAAACAGCUUUUUUAAAUUUCAAUAAACUUGCAGAGAGCUGUAUUGAAACGCCUUUGUCUGAAAAAUCACGCUAUCAUCCAUUAAGUCUGAUGUUGUCAGCCCCGUUUCUUAAGGACAUAGUGCUUAUCCACCCUUGAUGUCUGCAUAUACUUCCCAGUAACUUUUAAACCCAUCAAGCCAACUCUGACCAAAACUGACAAAGGGGACAGGCAUAAGAUGUCAGUAAAUUCUACUUUUUUAAACAAAAUUCAACAGCUGCUUAGAAAAAAAGAUGCCCAGCCUAGCAUCCGCAUUUAAGGGAGGGGCCAAAGUGUGAGCUCAACAGUAACCUGUCUCCAUCAGAAAUGUGGCAGCCUUCACUCAACCACAGCCCUGCAGGCAGACAGGGGAGCUGGUGCAGCACAGAGGGGCUGUUACAGAUGUGGGGAGGGCAGCACCAACUGUGACCCACUAACUUUUUGGUUACAGUCAACAGGGAAUAAGAUAGUGCAGAAGACAGGGCAUCGGUAUUUUUGCUGCUCAUGAAUAAUAAUUAUGUAGUUUCCUCAGUUUUGUCCACAUGUCAAACUUACUCUGAAAUAGGUGUAUAGCACCAGAACUCUACAUGUUUAUAUUUUUAUCCUGGAACUGGUUUAGGUGACAUAGGUACCUGGAAUAAUUAUGUAAAGCCCUAACUUUGCAAGCAGCGUUUCAAGUUCUUGGACUUGUUCUGUUGCAUCACAACAACUCUUGAUUUGAGCAGGACCUCAUGCACGCACGAGUAACAGAAGACGCAUUCAAAGCUAAGCUACUAUUUUUCCCUGUGCUGGAGAAGUGCUGGAGUUCUGUCCCUGCAGUGCUGCCUUCUCCUUGCUGACCACGCACAGUUUGUGUCUUGUGCUAUUGCUGUUUCACUGGUUAUACCUCAUUGCUGCUUCUCUCACUGCAUUGACACUUGCUCAUACUGACUGUUGAUACCAAUAGAGCUGUGCAAGCCUUAGCAAAACUGGAGCUGAGACAGAAAACCACUAAUGUGAUUGAGAUAGAUAACAUGCUUCAAAUACAACUAAAAUCAAGUUAAAAUAUGUCCAAUACCAGACAACACCUGAAGCCCAAUAUGGAUAAUUAUUAUUACAAAACUUUAAGGUCUGUUAUUAGUACAAGCGGUUAUAAUCAUUAAUAUUAUUGACAGAUGCCAAAACGGUGAAAUAGUUUUUCUCCAUCUCUCAGCAUUAAAAUCUGUUAGAGCCUGGAAGUAAAAGUGAUUAGAAAGCUAUCUGUUUGUUAGAACAAACAUUUUAUCUUUAUAGUGUUUAUAACAUUUUUUUAACAAUCACUGUAUCUUACCUCCAGCAGAGACUACAGUGUUGAUUUGGGAAAUGCAAGAUUGUCUCCAAAUAUGAGUGAUAACAAAUAAUUCAAAACACACUUCUACAAUUUUCAUCAUAGAGAAAAGAACAGCUUUCCAAAUAUUGUAAUGAACUUUGACGGAUGAACCAAGAAGAGAAAAUAAAAACUAUUAUAUGCUGCUAUUAUUCAGAAAGUCAGAGAAUG